rnacentral:lncRNA from 1 species
CAAAGAAUUAGCAACUUGGAAGCCCUGUGAAACUCAUGAAUACUAAAGAAGAUGUUACUGCCACUUUAUCAAGCCACUCCUGUGGCAGUAGACUCUAUAAGAUGGAAAAGUCACAACUGCAGCAGAGGCCAGAGCCAGAAGUUGAAAGUUGAAGAGAAAGCAUUAAGAGAACCAGAAGUUCUACAAACUUUUAAAGCCUGCUGAAGUGACAUACUUCCUUCUCCAUCAAGGCUCCACUUCCUAAAGGUUCCCUAACCUGUCUGAACAGUGCCACCAAUUGGGAACCACAUAUUUAAACAAGUGAGGCUAUGGGGCACAUUUCUCAUUCAUACCGUCACGUGUCUCUCCCUGGUCUCCAUAGACUCAUAGAAAUAUGCAUGUGGUACAACUUUAAAAGUCAUCAUAGUCUUUAACAGUCUAGACACUGGUCAAAUUUCAAAGUUCAAAGGAUUUUUUUAGACUCAAGGCAACCUUUUAUCUGUGACCUAUUAAAAAUUACAUACUUCCAACAUAGAGUGGCACAGAAUAUACAUUACCAUUCCAAAAAGGAGGAAUGAGGGAAUAGUAAGGAGAUGAUGGGUCAAAGCAAGACUAAACCAAGCAGGACAAAUACCAAGUCCUACAUGUCC